AAACCAGCAACGCGGCCGAAGCGAUGGUGGCCGCUGAGAAGGGAUCGCAAGCCGUGAGCGUUUUAAACUCCCGCAGGAAGCGCAAGCAGCCCUCUCUCAGAAUCUCCACGUCGUUUUUACAGUUUUUCCCCCAGAUGGGAAUGCUUGGUGGUGCUAAAGGCGCUGGAGAAGUAAAACAAGAGAAUCGUCAUGAUGUCACUUGACUUGUCCCUGUAUGAGCAGACUCUGAGAAAUCUGUUCCAGCUCUUUGCCUCUUUUGCAAAAAGUCAAGGAGGAAUUAAAGCAAUUGGAGGAAAAGAAGUGAUAAAACCUGUAACUGAACCUACAGACUGGUGUGCACCAAUGGUACUGGUUCCGAGGAAAAAUGGAAAGGUGUGCGUCUGUUUUUAUUUGAAGAAGUUGAACGAAGCUGUAAAGAGAGAAAGAUACAUUCUUCCAACUGCAGAGGAAAUCACUGCAAAGCUGAGUGGCGCAACCACGUUUACAUCACUAGAUGCUGCCUCAGGAUUUUGGCAGAUUCCUCUUCAUCCUGAAAGCAGCAAGUUAACCACCUUUAUAACACUCUCUGUGAUACGCCUUCAAACGACUCCCAUUUGGGAUUACAAGUGCCCCAGAAAUUUUUCAAUGGAACAUGACAGAGACUCUCAGCAGCCUUGAAGGCGUGGCUGUCUUUAUGGAUGGUGUCCUUGUGUAUGGAGAAACUCCAGAACAACAUGACCAACAUCUCAGCAAAGUGUUGGAGAGUCAGCCAGCCUGAAGCUUAACAUAGAAAAAAGUUCAGGCAGAAUAAGCUUCAGUUCCUGGGCCAAGUCAUUGACAAAUCAGGUAUGAGGCCUGAUCCUGACAAGGUCAAAGCAAUCCAUAAGCUCCCAACGCCACAGAACAUCCAGGUGCUAAAACGUGUUCUGGGCAUGUUGAGCUACUUAGGGAAAUUUAUACCUAAUUUGUCGACAGUGGGCCAGCCGCUAUAAGAACUGCUGAGGUCAAAGUCAGUCUGGACGUGGGACCAUCCUCAGCAGGAGGCAUUGCAGCAGAUUGAAGAAUGUCUGUCCACCUCUUCAGUCCAGAAAUUUUAUGACGUGAACCGAUCAACUGCUGUCUCAGCUGAUGCCAGCAGUUAUGACAUAGGCGGGGUGUUGCUGCAACUGCACGAUGGGGACUGGAAACCUGUGGCAUACUGCUCACGUCGUCUGUCCGACGUCGAAACCAGAUAUGCACAGAUUGAGGAGGAAUGCUUAGCGAGUGUGUGGGCCUGUGAGAGAUUCGAGAAGCACCUGUGUGGCCUUGAAAACUUUAAGUUGGUCACCGACCAUAAACCCUUAUUGCCACUCAUGAACAAAAAAGACUUAGAUAAUGUGCCAAUAUGAUGCCAAAGGCUACUCAUGAGACUUAUGAGAUUUACUCCAACAACUGAAUAUGCACCUGGAAAGACAUUGACAGUGGUUGACACACUCUCACACAGUCCACUACAAUGCCCGGAAAAUGAGAUUGACACUCAUUGAGAUGUAGCAUACUAUAUAGCAGCCGUUGUCGAUAAUAUGCCUGCCACUCCACAUAGGCUGGAAGCCAUAAAGACAGCCAUAAGAGCCGAUCACAAUUUGCAGGUGGUGUUGCGGUAUAUCAAAUCAGGGUGGUCAGAGUACAUAGGUCAUGUGCCAUCAGCAAGAAGGGAGUAUUUUCCAAUCAAAAAUGAACUGUCUGAAUUCAAUGGGAUUGUCACCAGAGGAUGCCGAAUGUGUUGAGAGUAGACAUCAUGGAUUGCAUUCAUGAUGCACAUCAAGGUCUGACAAAAUGUAGGGAGCGGGCCCAUAUGACCGUAUGGUGGCCUGGCAUCUCAUCUGAAAUCAAACACAAGGUCCAGUCCUGUCAGUUGUGUCGUGAGAUGAAACCUACUCAAUGUAGAGAACCUCUGAUCUCAACCCCUCUACCUGAGUGGCCUUGGAGGAGACUCGCUAUUGACCUAUGUAAUCAUGAUGAACAUGCUUACCUUGUGUCAGACUAUUUCUCCAGAUUCCUCGAAAAACUCCAUUUGGCAUCAACCACCGCCUCUCAGGUUAUCUUAAAACUAAAACUCAAAACUACUCUUCCAACACUAGAAGGAAACGAUGGCCUGGUCUGGAAAUUGUCAGGAAUAAGGAAGCCAAUGAGAAAAAGAAACAAGCCUUCUACUUCAAUCCGCGCCACGUUGCAAAACCCCUACCCUCACUAAAACCAGGAGAUCCCGUCCUCAUUAAGCUGGACCAUCAAAUGUCCUGGCAGGCACCCGCUGUUGUCACUGGAGAAAGCAUCACACCUCGCUCCUAUCUCAUUGAAACACCCCAGAGAGGAAAAUUCAGACACAAACGUCAUCAUCUACAACAUGCUCCUGACAAACAUCAGCCCGGAACUAGCAAACAUCAGCCUGAUCCUGCAGUCUCCACUGACACUGCUUCACUGACCCCCAGUACCAUAUCACCAGACACUCAGAAUGGACUGUUCCGUAUGCGGUCUGGCAGACCAAGUAAACCUGUUGAAAGACUAAAUCUGUGAAAAGAGAAAAAAAAGUCAUAUGUUCGUUUUGUUCGGGGUAAAUAAUAUAUUUACUGCACUAGCUGUGGCUAUUUUGUUUAAGAAUUCAGUCAGAUUGUGGGGAAGGAAGAGAGAAAGCUUAUUGUUUUUGUGAAUGGUAAUGUUUAUUAAAACUGUGUACUAAGUACUAAAGUACUAAGUAAAGUACUAGGCUAAAGUACUAAUGCUCUAAUAAUGGACAGACUAAUGUUUGAUGAGUUGAACAAAUUAAUACUAGUUCCAGAUUGAGGUGAUGAAUGCAGUAUCCUUCUAAUGUUCAGUAAGGAAGAGGCAAUGUUUUAUUGUCUUGUUUUGUCCAAAAGUAAAAAAAUAAAAAACUGAAAAGGGGAGAUGUCAAAUAAUGUGCACAUAUAAACGGUGCAAUACAGCCUUAAGUGCGUUUAGGUUUAUGCCAUGGGUAAUGCGCAUGGAUAGCAAUGCACAUGUCUACGUUAGUCUUACGUUACGGGUAGAGAAGAAAAGUUUGUACCGCUUGCCUGUCUGUAUUGCUUGUUCGCAGGGAUAUCAAAUUACAGUCUUCACUGGACUCCAAGUCUGUGUGGAUAUCGAAUUCUUUACAGUAUCAACCAAAAAAAGAAUUACUAUGAUUUACAUCUUAUCUGAGGUCUUCAAUGAACAACAAUCAGCUGUUAGCAGCUGUUUAUUAGGAAAUUCACUACGCAAAUGUCACAAGCAA